rnacentral:rRNA from 1 species
CCUACGGGUGGCAGCAGUGGGGGAUAUUGCACAAUGGGGGGAACCCUGAUGCAGCGACGCCGCGUGGGUGAAGAAGCGCCUCGGCGCGUAAAGCCCUGUCAGCAGGGAAGAAAAUGACGGUACCUGAAGAAGAAGCCCCGGCUAACUACGUGCCAGCAGCCGCGGUAAUACGUAGGGGGCAAGCGUUAUCCGGAUUUACGGGGGGUAAAGGGGGCGCAGACGGCGAUGCAAGCCAGGAGUGAAAGCCCGGGGCCCAACCCCGGGACUGCUCUUGGAACUGCGUGGCUGGAGUGCAGGAGGGGCAGGCGGAAUGCCUGGUGUAGCGGUGAAAUGCGUAGAUAUCAGGAGGAACACCGGUGGCGAAGGCAGCCCCCUGGGACGCAACUGACGCUCAUACACGAAAGCGUGGGGAGCAAACAGGAUUAGAUACCCCUGUAGUC